GAGGAAGUACGCUUAAGGUGGUCAC
rnacentral:piRNA from 1 species